rnacentral:lncRNA from 1 species
UGCCCAAAGUCCCAAACACAACUGCUCUCUCUCUCGCCCUGUACCUCACCACUCUCUCUCGCCCAGUACCUCACCACACUCUCUCUCGCUGCCUCCUUCAGCAUCAACUGCCGAAUCUCUGUCUGCAGUCCAGGUAAUUAAGAAAUCCCCCAAACACAACCGCUCUCUCUCUCGCCCAAUACCUCACCACUCUCUCUCUCGCUGCCUCCUUCAGCAUCAACUGCCGAAUCUUUGUCUGCAGUCUAGAUGCGCUCAGUUUCUCUGGAGCUUGGGAUUCUUGGCAGGCAUCAGCACCUUGAAUUAACAAUUCCCUUUUUAAAGGAUAUUGAUGAACUUGUUCUCAUGGCAAAAAGAGCAAAACAAAUGAAAGCAAGUGCAAAGCUCACAAAAUGACAAAGUAAAAUGGUGCACUUGUGAUUGUUGUUUUAUUUC